CUGAAUAGCUUAUUUACAUCUAAAUGCAAGACUAUGUCCUAAAGUUGUAGUAUUAGGGUAGGGAUUAGUUGUUAACCAUAACCCAGCUGCAACUUUAACUGCCAAAACAUCACUUUUAACGGCAUCACCCGGUGUGUUCACGGAACUGCCGACAGCUGCGAGGGCCCACAGCAGCAGCAGCAGCAGGCCCAAUGGCGGACACCCUCGUCCUAACUGCCGACGGUCGGAUUCUUCCUUGAUGAAACACGUCAGCGUGGAGCCAAGAACAGCAAGUGGCACAGGCCAGAUGUAAAUCCAAAAGCCAGCCGUGUGCUAGUCACACGCCGAAACGAGCGGUCGCCGUCUGAAAAUGCGUGAGUCACGCGGCCUCUAUAGACAUGUGGUCAGCCGAGGACCUGGCAGCGGACUCCCCCUCAUCAGUGAAAAGUGUAGCGUAUGAAGCUUGGGAGUUGAGUUUGAAACAGAUUAUGUCUGAUUGUGUGCCCAAAGAACAUGUCUAUUCAGUUCCAUAAUGUUGAUUAAGAGCAUUAGCUGUUGGUUUGCCAUUGUUGUAAUCCUCUUUGAUCAUCGUACUGUUCUUGGAUGUAUUCCCGCCAUCAUUCUACAAUGGUUCUAUUUUGAGGAGCAUUAUGCCAAUCCUAUCCUCUAUACCAGUGGUUAUUAACCUUGUUGGAGGUACCGAACCCCACCAGUUUCAUAUGCGCAUUCA